AAAUUGAAGAGUUUGAUCAUGGCUCAGAUUGAACGCUGGCGGCAGGCCUAACACAUGCAAGUCGAACGGUAACAGGAAGCAGCUUGCUGUUUCGCUGACGAGUGGCGGACGGGUGAGUAAUGUCUGGGAAACUGCCUGAUGGAGGGGGAUAACUACUGGAAACGGUAGCUAAUACCGCAUAACGUCGCAAGACCAAAGAGGGGGACCUUCGGGCCUCUUGCCAUCGGAUGUGCCCAGAUGGGAUUAGCUAGUAGGUGGGGUAACGGCUCACCUAGGCGACGAUCCCUAGCUGGUCUGAGAGGAUGACCAGCCACACUGGAACUGAGACACGGUCCAGACUCCUACGGGAGGCAGCAGUGGGGAAUAUUGCACAAUGGGCGCAAGCCUGAUGCAGCCAUGCCGCGUGUAUGAAGAAGGCCUUCGGGUUGUAAAGUACUUUCAGCGGGGAGGAAGGGAGUAAAGUUAAUACCUUUACUCAUUGACGUUACCCGCAGAAGAAGCACCGGCUAACUCCGUGCCAGCAGCCGCGGUAAUACGGAGGGUGCAAGCGUUAAUCGGAA
rnacentral:rRNA from 1 species